rnacentral:rRNA from 1 species
CCGCACCGUUAAGGCGUUUCACAAGCCUGCAAGUCUAAGCGAACAUUUGUGGAGCUGCAAAUGGCUCAGUAGGCUCAGUUAUAAUCUACUCGACAUCUAUGGAUAACCGUGGUAAACUGCGGCUAAUACAUUUUAGCUUGAAAAGCGAUGUCGAUUGAGUUUCUGACUUAUCAGCUUGAGUGUAGGGUAAGGGCCUACAUUGGCUAUGACGAGUAACGGAGAUUUUGGGUUCGAUUCCGGAGAGGGAGCAUGAGAAAUGGCUACCACAUCUAAGGAUGGCAGCAGGCACGAAAAUUACCCAAUCUCGAAGAGAGGAGGUAGUGACGAAACGUACUAAGGAAAGAAUGUAGUGUAAAUAACUACAUGAAGGCAACUGGAGGGCAAGUCUGGUGCCAGCAGCCGCGGUAAUUCCAGCUCCAGUAGCAUCUGUGUGUAUUGCUGCAGUUAAAAAGUUCGUAGUCGGGCUAUCGAACGCAUUACUUUCUGAAAAGACGGUAUUGUGAUUGAUUUACUGUGAGUAAAUUACAGUGUUCAAAUUUGAGUACGUGAGCAUGGAAUAAAAAGGGAUGGAGAUUAAUAGGAGCAGUUUAGGGCAAUGGUAUUCUACAGUUAGAGGUGAAAUUUGUUGACCUGUAGAGGACUAACAGAAGCGAAAGCGUUUGUCAAGGAUGCUUUCAUUGAUUAAGAACGUAAGCCGGAGUAUCAAAGACGAUUAGAUACCGUCGUAGUUCCGAGCUGUAAACGAUGCCAACGGGGUGAGGCAAUAUGGUUAGUUUUGCUGUGCCCGAGAGAAAUCGAGAGUGUUUGGGCUCUGGGGAUAGUAUAUGCGCAAGCAGGAAACUUAAACGAAGUUGACGGAAGGACACCACAAGGAGUGGAUUAUGCGGCUUAAUUUGACUCAACGCGGGACAGCUUUACCAAAAAAACAAAACG